CAAGAGCGUAUGUAAAAGUUGUUGCAGUUAAAAAGCUCGUAGUUGAACCUUGGGUUUGGUUGGCCGGUCCGCUUUUUUGCGAGUACUGGAUUCAACCGAGCCUUUCCUUCUGGCUAACCAGUCGUUUCGGCGGCUGGCGAACCAGGAUUUUUACUUUGAGAAAAUUAGAGUGUUCAAAGCAGGCAUUAGCUUGAAUAUAUUAGCAUGGAAUAAUAGAAUAGGACGUUAUGGUUCUAUUUUGUUGGUUUCUAGGACCAUCGUAAUGAUUAAUAGGGACGGUCGGGGGCAUCAGUAUUCAGUUGUCAGAGGUGAAAUUCUUGGAUUUACGGAAGACGAACUACUGCGAAAGCAUUUACCAAGGAUGUUUUCAUUAA
rnacentral:rRNA from 1 species